AGGUCAUGGUGUGGACAGACUCUUAAUAGCCCCUUGUAUCUCUCCCAAGCUUAAAAAAGUGAUUCUCCUUGGUUUUAAGUAAAUCUAGUUAUUUGGUUUCGAAGAACAU